rnacentral:rRNA from 1 species
GCUUCUUAGAGAGACAAGCAGCGCUUAGCUGCACGAAAGUGAGCAAUAACAGGUCUGUGAUGCCCUUAGAUGUCCGGGGCUGCACGCGCGCUACACUGAAAGGAUCAGCGUGCAAGAAACCUUGCCUGAAAAGGUUGGGUAACCCAUUCAAAACCUUUCGUGAUUGGGAUAGGAGAUUGCAAUUAUUCUCCUUGAACGAGGAAUUCCCAGUAAGUGUGGGUCAUCAGCUCGCGCUGAUUACGUCCCUGCCCUUUGUACUGAGCG